rnacentral:rRNA from 1 species
UUGAGCAAUCAAGGGAGUGGCGGACGGGUGAGUAACACGUGGGUACCUACCCCAAGGUGAGGAAUACCGGCGAGAAAUCGCCGACAAUACCGCAUAGGCUUCGUAAGAAGCAAAGCUCGCAAGGGCGCCAUGGGAUGGGCCUGCGGCCGAUUAGCUAGUUGGUGAGGUAAAAGCUCACCAAGGCGACGAUCGGUAGCUGGUCUGAGAGGAUGAUCAGCCACACUGGGAUUGAGAACGGCCCAGACUCCUACGGGGGGCAGCAGUGAGGAAUUUUCGUCAAUGGGGGCAACCCUGAACGAGCAACGCCGCGUGCAGGAAGAAGGUUUUCGGA